AGCUGAUCACUGGGCGUAAAGCGUGCGCAGGCGGUUUUGUAAGACAGUGGUGAAAUCCCCGGGCUCAACCUGGGAACUGCCAUUGUGACUGCAAGGCUAGAGUGCGGCAGAGGGGGAUGGAAUUCCGCGUGUAGCAGUGAAAUGCGUAGAUAUGCGGAGGAACACCGAUGGCGAAGGCAAUCCCCUGGGCCUGCACUGACGCUCAUGCACGAAAGCGUGGGGAGCAAACA
rnacentral:rRNA from 1 species